AGGAAGGGGGCUGGUAUGCUGGUCUUGUCUGCACAUGACAGGGUGGAGAGAGAGUGUCUUGGAUUUUUCCACAUGGGAACCUAUAUCCAGGUGUGCUGUGUGUGCCGAACAAAACAGUAGUAAAACACAGUGUUCUGUUAUUGUUAGUGUAACAGCAUGUUCCUUUGUGCCCACCCUUUAUAAUUCCACAUAAGUUCCUUAAUCCUCAUUGAUGACAGUUUAAGAGAGGUUUUUGAUCCUAUUGUACAUAAUACUUGAUUUGCAAUAAUAUGCCACAUAAAAGGCAUCCAAGUGUUGGAUCAAAUAUUUGAAUGAAGGAAAAGACCUGCCAAAACAAUGACAGUUGGAAUGAACAUAUUACAUUGAUAUCAUGGUAUGAUGUGUAAAGCUCUUAAUAAUAGACCAAUGGCAGACACUGACAUCUCCAACUACCCGUCUGAUGGGGAGGGAGAAGGAAAGAGCAAUGACACCCUGACCCAGAGCAGACUGGAAGCUGGGGUUGUUGCUGAGUGUCCUAUUCAGACUGGAGGCUGGGGUUGUUGCUGAGUGUCCUAUGCAGACUGGAGGCUGGGGUUGUUGCUGAAUGUCCUAUGCAGACUGGAGGCUGGGGUUGUUCCUGAGUGUCCUAUGCAGACUGGAGGCUGGGGUUGUUGCUGAGUGUCCUAUGCAGACUGGAGGCUGGGGUUGUUGCUGAAUGUCCUAUGCAGACUGGAGGCUGGGGUUGUUCCUGAGUGUCCUAUGCAGACUGGAGGCUGGGGUUGUUGCUGAGUGUCCUAUGCAGACUGGAGGCUGGGGUUGUUGCUGAGUGUCCUAUGCAGACUGGAUGCUGGGGUUGUUCCUGAGUGUCCUAUGCAGACUGGAUGCUGGGGUUGUUGCUGAGUGUCCUCUGCAGACCGGAGGCUGGGGUUGUUGCUGAGUGUCCUCUGCAGACUGGGGAGGGAGAGGGCAGCAGAUGGUCGGUCACUGACUGGGUCAGGUCCACUCUGGCAGUGCGGCAGACGCCCCAGAAACAUACAGACAGGAACUCCAAGGACCCAUAGGACUCCAACAAAAAGAAAAGGACAUUUCAAAGGGGCGGCCUGGCGGAGUGACUGAACAGGCUCCAGUGCAGACAGAGGUCAACCAUCAGCUUCUGGAGGCACCAGUCCAUCUCUGACAUUACUACAACAGCCACAGAAACAAGGACAUUUCUAAGUGACCCCAAACUUUUGAAUGGUAGUGUACUUUAUUCAUUCACAACAUCUCUCGCCAUAAGAGAUAUUACAUCAUGAGUGACACUGACAGUGAAAGUUGAUUGAUUUUUCUGAUUCAGAAAUUGGAAUUGCUAUUCAACUUCCUCAGUUGAAAACUGAAUUGACCCCAACCCUGCAAUACAACGUGCCCCACACAGACACUGACACCAUCUGUGCUGUUCUUGUCCUUCCUACAUUGCCUAGGAUUCUGGAGGUCCUGACAGUCCAGGUGGCGAGCUGCAUGCAGCUGGCCCUGUGUGAGCAGCACUACCCCCCUGCUACGGACCAGCGCAGACCCCCUCUCACCACCAGAGCUAACCAGAACCACUCCCCCACUACAGACCACAACAGACCCCCUCUCACCACCAUAGCUAACCAGAACCACUCCCCCACUACGGACCACCACAGACCCCCUCCCUCCACCUUCACCACUCCCAGCAGCAGAGCCCGGAUCCUGGUACUGUUUAUUAAGGAGACAGCUGCCCAGCUCAUGCCUGAACCUAGAGACAUCAUCGAUGUGUACCCACCAUGGUGAGAGUGCACCAGUCUGCAGUAGUUACAGUAUUGGUAAUGCACAGCUAUGGUGUCAUGUUAUAAUUUUAAUGGCACGGGAAAUGCCAGAGUCAUUAUGUCAUCUAUCAUCGAGCACGUAUCCUCCUCAUGCAGUAAAGCUAUGGUCAUAUCUCACGUUGAACCCAGUUUAUAUGUUUUUAUAUAGGCCUACCAGUACUUUUCUGUUUUAAAAUGUGUUGUAACGGGAAACACUAUUCGGCUAGUGAGGCCCAAUAGCCCUCUGGUGCAGUGCAGUAGUGUUAUACACACAGAGUAGUUGGGGCGUGUGAGGUUGUUUUGGAACAGGAGAAAGGCAGAGGCUGGUUCCAGCUGUUGAGGGUUUACUUUGGGAGUCCAGCGGCCACCUCUGGAAUAUCCAGUCUGGGGCCUGGCCUGGUGGAAGCCCAGGGGCCUAUUGUCAGCUUUGGAAUAUCCCGACUGGGGACUGGCCUGUUGGAAGCCCAGGGGCCUACUCUAAGCUCUGACGUCACCAGCUGCUCCAGGGAAUGAUGCUUCACAUUCCUCUUCCUGGCAGUAGAGUAGUUAGGUCAUUUCCAGCAAGCCGGCCUGGGAAAAAACACACUGGGAUUAUUUUCUGGAGCAUUUGGGAACUAUGUGGAAGAAGCCAAAAGGACCGGAUUGAAAACACAUGCUGCUCUGCUGCACACACACACGAAUGUGCGCACACACACACACACACACACACACACACACACACACACACACACACACACACACACUGUGUAAUGUAUCAUUGAUUUAGAAUUAUUAGAGCAGUUUUAUUUUCACCAGCAGUAGAGAACAGUAGUCUCCCGCUGACUGUUAUUGAAAGCAAAAUAAUUUCAGCAUUUAUAAACAAAUGUAUUUAUUUAUUUGAAUGCUCUUUCUACUCAUGGUCCUUGCCAUUGUCUUAUUUUGUAAAUUAAAAUAUAGGCCUACAAAUUUUCCUUAAAUACCCUCCCCCCCAACUUUACUCAAAAUAUCCUAUUUGCUGAUAUAGAGAUUUUUAGAACGUCCAAAAGGGGUAAACGCACGUAAUUCAUAGAAUCCUCGAUGCUGGUUAAAUUUCUAUUUCUUAUCUACCAGCUUCCUGUGUGACAUGUGAAUGGUUCCCACCCCCAUACUCCUUCACUGACUGGGCCCCUCCAUCCGCCUAGCCGCCUACCACUCCUUGUGAGACAGUGGAGCGGAAAUACCUGCCAGCAUUAUUCACCUUUGCUCUGACGACAGCAGCCGCUCCUUAACUACCUGUCUGAUGACACAUGUACUAGUUCCCAACAGUCACCUGCACUGUGCAGGGUAACACUUUAUGUACUGUUGUUCCUCCAAGAAAGCCUUUAUCACUGAUAGUUGAGCGAUUUAGGUAUAGAUUCAAUUUAGAAUAUGGAGUCUUUGAAACCUUAAUACUGACACUGAUUGAGUGUGAUGAGGCACUCUAUAUACCCUUUAUAUUAAGAGGGUUUAUUAACAUUGAGAAAUCAUAGGCUAAACUAUAACUAAAACAUUACACGUGUGUAGCUAGAGUGUGUGCACUUGUUCACUUCUGGCCAACAUCUCAAACAUGAGUCUAUUCUUGAUCAUUUCAUGAUGAUUCGACACAACAGAAAUGUACACCUUUUGAAUAGCAGAUAACAUAUUAUUUUCUAAGUGAACUCGAUUACAUGAAAUUGCUAAUUUGUUAUAUUGACAGCACCUGUAACCUACAUUUUUAUGAAGUGUGAUUAAUUAUCCUGCCUCCUCUAUCAUAUCACCAGUCAGAGGCAGGCUGGAACAUGUAGGUCUAGCUGGAUCCACAGAGACUGUGGUUGUCUCUGAGUCAACUAUAAGCCAUGUUGUUAUUACCUGUGCCACAUCAACAUUAAAAAAAUUGAGUCAGAACAUUGCCUUAUCCACAUAAUAAAGAUGAUGCGAUCUAAAUAAGAUUGCUUGUUUUUAAAGGCUGGAUAUUUCUUGGUAUAUUAACGUUCAGGAAAGCUUAAAGUGAAUCCCCUUUACGAGCUGUAAUACUUGACUGUUGAUUUAAAAAAAGUUUAUUUUCUCAGUAUUUGUCCUCCUGGUAUAAAAGGAACACCACAUGUUUCUCCAUGAUUAGUCUCCCCCAAAAAUAUAAUAAUUUCAUUUCACUGCAGCUAUCAUUGCACCUACUGUGCAUUUGGA